GUUGUUUCACAUUGUAGAAUGGGCGGUGGAAAUAAUGGAAUCUGUCAUAGCUGUAGAUCGAAUGGGCAUUUCUUUGCCAACAGCCAAUCGCAACGCCUUUGCUCAAAUUGCGAAUAUAGGUUUGAGAAGUGUUUCGUGGUGGAGAAGGAGAUUGAAAAUAAAGGGCGAUUAUUUAUUUGUUGCAGUAAAAACUGUAGAUUUUGGGAUUGGAUUGUCAUAGAACAAUUAAGCGGCCAAUCCUCUAAAGAUAGAACUUCUUCAGAUAACCUUGUCAUGAACGAAAUAUUUGAACAAAUAUCACAGAAUCUCGAAUCUUAAGUUUGCAUCGGCUGAAGGAGAUCUACAUAUUACGGUAAACGUGAAGGUCUGUAAGACAAAAAGAUCACGGAAGUGAAUUCAGAAUGGAAGUGGCCGACCUGAUUAGUACAUAUUAAUCGAAGUACUAGUUAGUCUUUUGUAUGUGGUUGGAAUAUUAUUAGCGAAGAUAUGUGAACAAUGUUAAUCUAUGACGUGAUGGAUGUUUA
rnacentral:lncRNA from 1 species